GAUGAACGCUGGCGGCGUGCCUAAUACAUGCAAGUCGAGCGAACAGACGAGGAGCUUGCUCCUCUGACGUUAGCGGCGGACGGGUGAGUAACACGUGGAUAACCUACCUAUAAGACUGGGAUAACUUCGGGAAACCGGAGCUAAUACCGGAUAAUAUAUUGAACCGCAUGGUUCAAUAGUGAAAGACGGUUUUGCUGUCACUUAUAGAUGGAUCCGCGCCGCAUUAGCUAGUUGGUAAGGUAACGGCUUACCAAGGCAACGAUGCGUAGCCGACCUGAGAGGGGGGGGCGCCCACACUGGAACAGAGACAGGCCCCAGCCUCCACGGGGAGGAACAAGAGGGAAUUCUCCCGAAGAGGGCAAAACCCUAACGGCGCACCCCCGGGUGAGUAAUAAGGUUCUUCGGAUUCAAAAACUGUUUUAUUGGGAAAAAAAAAAUGUAAAAGUAAAUCUCCACUUCUGGAGGGUCCCUAAUAAAAAGACCCGGACAACCCACGUC
rnacentral:rRNA from 1 species